ensembl:lncRNA
CAGAAUUUCAGUAAAACCUGACACCAACACAUUCACACAUUCUCCUUUGAGGCUGAUUGCUGACACACUGCAGUCUGUUCAGAGCAAAGCACACGUUUGCUUUGAAAGCUGCUGACUGGAUCAACAGUGAGGAGACAUGGAAGCUGUAGUUGGACUGUUGUUGAUGAUGUUUGGAGUAUCUCAUGGUGUGGAAAGUUACUGUGACGGCAGACCAGAUGGAGCUCAUUGUUAUGGAACUUUGGGAGGAACUUUGGACAUCAAACUGAUGGACAGCACCUCAGAGUUAGGCAGAUUCCAACUGUUAAAGAAUACAUCACUAAUACGAUAUUCGAGAAACAACAGUUCUAAACAUAAUACAACAGAUGAAAGAUUUCUCUUUUAUCUCAGUAAUGGAACGCUUAGGAUACAUAACCUGAGCAGUACAGACAGCGGUAAAUAUAACUUUUCGACCUUUAAGUUUGAUGGACAACAAUCAGCUGAGCGGACUUUCCAGAUUUUUAUUCAAGGUACUUCCUGGUUCAUACAUGGUUUGAAAGCAGUGGUGGUAAUUAUAUCAUUAAGUGGGAUUUGGAUCUAUUUCACUUGGAAGAAAAAAGCAAUAUUGGAAGGCUCUGCUGUCCCACAAAGGAUGGAAUCUCCAGAUAACUCUGUUUUAAUGACUGAAAUGAGUCCUUACUCCAACACUUAGUGUCACCUUUCACCUGCUGUAAAUUCACUGUGUGUCCUUACAGGUGUGCAGAUGAGGACUAGGGUGAUUUUUCUUCUUUUUCUUCCUUCUUUUGUCAUAUGUAGUGCACAAGGACACAUUUGUUUUCACCUUUUGGUGUGUUUGUGUUAGUUCACAAUGUGAUUUCAGUGUGUGAAUAAAGAGGUAACAAAAAUGUUUAUUUCUGGUUCUUAAAAGCAGGAACAGUCAAAGAAAAAAAAAAGACCAUGGAAAAGAGGAGAGCAAAAACUUUAGAGGAAAG